rnacentral:rRNA from 1 species
AUGAGUCUCCUUAGCUGGAACUGCCGGGGUCUGGGGCAACCCCGGACAGUUCAGGAGCUCGUGUGCUUGGUGCACACUCAUCGCCCAAAGAUUGUCUUCUUGUCCGAGACGCGGCAAUGUGAAGAGAAGGUGAAAGGAAUCAAGUGGAGACUGGGUUUGAAGCACUUCCUUUCUCAUGAUUGUAAGGGUAAGGGUGCGGGCAUUGCCUUUUACUGGGAUGAGUCAAUAAAAAUAAAAUGUUUGUCGUACGGACCGCGGUACUUUGAUGUGUUGGUUACUGAUGAUCCUCAUGGCCCUUCGUGGUGA